CGGACUUUAUUUACAAGUGACAGGUGAGCGCUUUAUGAUUCGACGAGUAUUGAAUCAUGCACAUUGUUAUGGAGGUGUAUGUGAUGGUUGAUAAUACUGUGGAUGUCCAGCAUUUGUACAGUUCUGCUGCUGCAGGCACGUCGUCAUUUUAGAGUGACGUGGAUGUUCAUAGUGACCCGUGUAUUGGUGGAUUACUUUUACUGAUCCAUGUAGGGAAAUUUACUUUGAAUUUAACCCACCCCCAUCUAGUCUCCUGUUGAAAUUGUUGCUCAGCUGUGUUUGGUAAAUAGGCCAGUUAGAUCAAUUAAGUAGCGUAGCCUCUAUCUUUUAACUUAAAAUUGAAACGAAAUUAUAAAGCUAACCCGAGAUCGGUUACAACCAUUAUUAGCCACUGCUUGACUAUGUUUGGGCAUGACAAGGGACGACCAAUCAUUUUAUCACAUCGACCAUAGGCCACGCCCACCUGCGUUUAGCCGCGUUACGCACAGUGCGUGUGUUUCAGUUGUGUUUCUGUGCAGACGUCGAAGGAUUUCAGUCUCGGGAGACAGCGGAUGGUUUACUGUAACUUGACCAGGCCAUCUGGGUUCGCCCAGUGAAUUAGUUCGGCGGAUUUGACUGCGGAUUGUUUUGUAAACGAGGUACAGUGUCAUAGAGAGUGCAGGAUCCACCUAAUUGUAUUGAAUCUGACAGCAGCUGCAUCGCGAAACCAAUCUGAAGAGGAAACAGACGAAGUCGUUCAACCGGCCACACAAUUAAAUCAACAAAUUGACUCAGUGGUGCACGUGUGGGAACUGUCACAGAAUGCCCACCGAGUCUGAAAACCUUUGCUGUCAGGAGGUACAACAGGUAAUAAGAAGAAUUCAACAGAUUCCAGUGCCUCCAAUCUGCAUGAUUCUGCAUCCAGGCUUUGAAGCAAACUGUCUCAAUCCGUAUACCCUCCAGAACAUUCAUAAUAUAUAUAGAAGCGACUAUGGUCCAUUAAGACGCCGAACAAGAGAGGAGCAAUUCCGACAUUUGGCAUAUCGGAGCUUUGUUAGCUGGUGCUGGGGCUUCUUAGGCCGACAUGUCAGAGUGGUCAUUCCUUCCUGUGUUGUAUCCCGGAUACGCCAGGAGUUUCCAGAUCUGGCUGGUUGCUAUGUUGG